rnacentral:rRNA from 1 species
GUCGGGGGCGGCGGACGACGACCGGAAAUAUCGGCAGGGCUUCUCCAAGCUGGGGGCCGUCUGGUCGCUCGUCUACCGUCGUCUCCUACGCAUUUGUCUCCCGUCCGAAGGACGCCGCAGCCGGUUGGGUAUUUGCAAGCACGGCGGCCUGAGGGGCGGACGAAGGCAGUUGGCCGGUGGCUGGGAUCCAUUCCCCGUCGCCGGUUGUUAGCCUGUCCGCCGGUGGCCCGUCACCCGACCGAGGUGUCACGAGGCCCCUAGCGGGCCCUAACGUGUCCUCCUCCCUGGAUGCGGGUCAGAGUGUCGCAGCCGAAUUCCGCCGCCUGUCGCACGCCACGAGGCGUGGACUCGAGAGCGGAAGGCGCCGAUGGCGAUGCCGGACCCGUGGGAAGAAUGGAGGCUGGCGGCGAGUAGGUCGGUCACCCACCCGACCCGUCUUGAAACACGGACCAAGGAGUCUAACAUGUGCGCGAGUCAAUGGGACUUGAAUAGGCCCAGAGGCGCAAUGAAAGCAAAGGGCGGCCCUGACGCCGCCCGAGUUGGGAUCCGUCCUCUCUAAUGGGGGCGGCGCACCAGCGACCCGUCCUAUCCGGCUCGUCCGGUUGGGCGGAGUGUGAGCGCACACGUUGGUACCCGAAAGAUGGUGAACUAUGCCCGGGCAGGACGAGGCCAG